UGCAUAUGUGGUUCAAUUUCUCUAAGUCCCAGUCAGCAUUCUAUAUUUCCUUUAUUUUUUAUUUUUACGUUUCUGAUAUUUCUCUCACCCUCUCUCUUCCCCUUCCUUCUCUCCCUCUCUCUUUCCCCCAAACUUCUUUUCUUCCUGAGAAUCACGCCUGUCUCAUUGUGUGCCGUAUUUUACCAUGAGGGCAUUUUCAGGAGGCUUUCAGGAGAAGGCAAUGGCACCCCACUCCAGUACUCUUGCUGGAAAAUCCCAUGGAUGGAGGAGCCUGGUAGCCUACAGUCCAUGAGGUCGCUAAGAGUCAGACAUGAUGUGAGUGACUUCACUUUCACUUUUCACUUUCAUGCAUUGGAGAAGGAAAUGGCAACCCAGUCCAGUGUUCUUACCUUGAGAAUCCCAGGGAUGGGGGAGCCUGGUGGGCUGCUGUCUGUGGGGUUGCACAGGGUCGGACACGACUGAAGCGACUUAGCAGCAUCAGGAGACUUUCAAUGUGUUUUUUUUUUUUUCCCUCACAAAAUUAACCUUUGCUUCAUUUAGCCAGUUAUCUGUUACUUACAACUUAGAAUGCUGGCUGAUAUCAUUUUCUUUUUUUUUUUAAUGUAAAUUAUCUUCACUAAUUAUUCAUAGUAGGGGUUUCCCUGGUGGUUUAGCAGUAAAGAAUCCAUCUGCAGUGCACGAGAUGCAGGAGACUCAGGUUCGAUCCCUGGGUUGGGAAGAUUCCCUGGAGAAGGAAAUGGCAACGCACUCUAGUAUUCUUGCCAGGAAAAUCCCAUGGACAGAGAAGCCUGGCAGGCUAUGGUCCAUGGGGUCACAAAGAGUCAGACCUGACUGAAGCAACUGAGCAUUUCAUAGUAGAAUAUUUAACAUAUAUUUCAGUGUCCAUUCUUAGUAAUAUAGAAACAUAAAAGUAUUACAUAAUGUGGAAUAGUGCUAAGUGUAAAAGAAAACUCAUGCAGAUUCAGAGGGAGAACUAUUAUAUUUACCUGAGUGCAGAUGGGAAGACGAGAUCAGGAAAGGUUUUCAGAGGAUAAAGAAUUUGAGUAAAGUCUUAAGAAGCAAAUAGCGUUUGGACAGAUUACAAUCCAAACUGAACAGCUAUUUGCUGAAUUUUGGUUCUACAUUCAUCCAAACAGAUCACCACUGAAUAUCUUUUCUGAAUUUUCACUACUUUUGUAUUUACCUAUUCUAAAUAGCUAGAAAAUAGACCCUGUGUUCUAACACAGUCUGAUCAUCUUAGAUUGGUGUAACUAUAUCCUUGUCUGCACUGAAUAAGUGAUGGUGAUUGUGCUGGAACUAAAUGGUCAGGACUGGGGAAGAGGUUGCAAUGUGAUACAUUGUAUCGGUUCUUCACUUACAAGAUGAAGCUCAGAUAUUUUGUUUUUAUGAUUAUUGUUCUUUCUUUUAGUUUUUCUUAAAACAUACUGAGUUUCAUCCAGUUGCAAAACUGGUGCACUAUUCCACAUUAUGUGAUGCUUCUAUGUUUUUAUGUCACUAAGAGUAGACACUGAAAUAUGUUCAAUAUUCUACUGUGAAUAGUGAAAAUAAUUUACAUUUAAUACAAGCAAAUGAUAUCAGCCAGAGUUGUAAGUAGUAAAACUCCUUUUAAAUUUUAGUUUUAAAAGUAUGAAUUUGACUAUGCUGGUAGGAAUUGCAUCACUCGCAGGAGACCUGGGUUCGAUCCCUGGAUUGGGAAGAUCCCCUGGAGAAGGGAAAGGCUACCCACUCCAGUAUCCUGGCCUGGAGAAUUCCAAGGGGGUUGCAAAAAGUCAGACAUGACUGAGCCACUUUCACUUUCAAGGGGACCUGUCUGCCUGUCCCAUGCUUAUCGGUGGUUAGGAGCAACACCAAUGAAGGGAGCAUACAAUAAACUUGUAAAGAACUUCUUCA
rnacentral:lncRNA from 1 species